rnacentral:lncRNA from 1 species
AUCGCGUAGCGCGCACCCAGCCCGCCCCGCCGCGCCCGCCGCCCUCGCCGCCGUCUCCUCCUCAGGCGCCUGUCGCGGCCGGUAAGUCCCUGCUGGCGGAGCAGCGGCGGUCCCUGAGUCAACUUUCAGUCACCCCUUUGCUUCUGCCUCGCCAUUCUCUUCUCUGCUAACGAUGGCUGUGGGGCGAAGAGGGAGAAGUUAGGGGGUCGUCGGAGCGGGGCGAAGGAGGGCGCGAUAGCCCUGGCGGGAGCGGGCGGAGGUUCCACCUAGACCAGCUUCUCGUGGACCAGCAUUGCCAACUAACAGAAGGCUGUGAGUCGCAUCUUGGCCCAUCAAUCCUUCUCCUUAUUCCCAUGAUGAGUUCACCAGUGCGGUCCGGUCAGUCUGGUUGCUUUUUAAACUUUAAACAAAUUUAGUAUGAAAGAUGUUGUUUUGUAUUGCUUCAAGUUAAGCAAUUUAAAUUGUGAAAUAACUUUUUUUUCCUGAUGAAGUUUGGUCGAUAUAAUGAAUUUUGAACUGUGUUCUAUAGCCAAUCCUCUAUUACAUAACCAGUUUGCAGUGUAGGCAAUUAAUUUCAUUUGCUUUGUUAUCUGAGCAGUAGACUUUAAUUCCUCUGCUGCAAAUGCAACAUUUGGGGUGAAUUUUAUGAAGUUAUAAACAUUUAUUAAAUAUGACAUAGGCAUCUAACUCUACAUCCAUAGUCUUCUGACCAAAUACCUGUCUGUAUGCUUUUUAAAUGGUGUCAUGGGCUUUGCAAGUCAGCUUGUGAAUUUACUCCUCUUCCAUCUCUGUGACACACAGGAAGGAUAUUUUUCUUCUCCACCCUUCUUUGCUGCCACUCCUGUUUCCUAUAUACAUAUUUAAUUAUAAUCUCAACACCUGCUUCCUCUGAGUCCAGUUGAUGUGUGGCUCAUGUAGUGUUGUGAUCAGCACAGCCAACACCCAUUUCUCCAGGAACAGGGUGUCACUUUUGGAACAAACACGAUCCAAAUCUUCAGAAUGAUGGAAUAGCUUCAGAUAUCACAUGUUAAACAUAGACAAAUUUAAAAAGAAUUUUCUGUUUGGAUCAUUAUGGGAGUAUUUAUUUCUGUGUAUUCUUUAAAAAUAUUUCAGCAUAUUGAUAUCCUUGAGUUAUCCAACUCCUGAGGUUGAAGCUAGUAGAAUAUUUUACUCAGCUUAUAAAGGGAAAUCUUUUGCCAAGAUUUUCACUCUGUGGAAGGCUGGCCACACCCAGAUCAGCUGCUCUGAAAUUUCAGUGUCUCAUCAGGCUUCUCCACAUCCCCAGCAAGUUGCCAGUUUCUGUGUUGAAUUUGGAACUAGAAAUUAUUGGAGAGUGUAACAGUAUUUGUUCAUUCUAAAUGAUGUAGUAGAGAUAUUCCAGAAUCUUUAGUCACAGUCAUGAUUUAUAAUUGGCAUUAUUAUCUGAAUAAGAGAUGAAGUUACCUAGGC